rnacentral:rRNA from 1 species
GAUGAACGCUAGCGGCAGGCCUAACACAUGCAAGUCGAGGGGCAUCAUGGCGUAGCAAUACGCUGAUGGCGACCGGCGCACGGGUGCGUAACGCGUAUGGAACCUACCCACCGCAGGGGGAUAACCCGCCGAAAGGCGGACUAAUACCCCAUGGUUCCCCGACCCUGCCUGGGGUUGGGGGUAAAGCCUACGGGCGGCGGUGGAUGGCCCUGCGUGCCAUUAGCUGGCUGGUGGGGUAACGGCCCACCAGGGCGACGAUGGCUAGGGGGUCUGAGAGGAUGAUCCCCCACACCGGUACUGAGACACGGACCAGACUCCUACGGGAGGCAGCAGUGAGGAAUAUUGGACAAUGGGCGCAAGCCUGAUCCAGCAAUGCCGCGUGUGUGAAGAAGGCCUUCGGGUUGUAAAGCACUUUUAUCAGGAACGAAAGCGUUGGAUUAAUACUCUGACGUGCUGACGGUACCUGAGGAAUAAGCACCGGCUAACUUCGUGCCAGCAGCCGCGGUAA